UGAAUUAUAAAUGCAAUUUCAAGAAAUUUCAACAACACAAAGGCUUGUUGUAAUAUCAGUGUAGAUAUUGUAAAAUAAACUGAAUAUAAGAGCAGAGAUGAAGCCACAUUGGGGUCACUGGGGUUAAACGACCCUAUAUAAGCCAUGGGAAUAGGCUUGGAGGUCUACCUGAACCGAUGGUACAACCCUAUGGAUUGCUUUUCAACUAUUUGAUGUUUUGCCUGAGGAAGAAGAAGGAGAUGGCCUGAGGAAAAAGAAGCGUACUGUAUUUUUUUUCAAAAAAAAACCUCCUUGGGCAAAACGACAUUGUUUUGGCUCAAUCAAAAUUUUUUUUUAAAAAAAUGGCAUGGGCCAAAACAACGUCGUUUUGAGACAAGUCAUUUAAAAAUAAAAAACAAAAGUUUUCCUUCACCCUUCCCCCACCCCUCAAAGCCCAUCCGAGAAUCACCCCCCAAAACCCCCAAUUUCUAUUAUUCUCUUUUCAAACCCUAACCCCAACCUCCCUAUUCCCCGCCUACUAUAGUGUCGUUGAUGUGUUGCCACUGCCGUCAAAGUUAGGUCGUCGGCCACCACCUAUUAUUGCGUCACUAUUAUUGUUUUUUGGUUAAUUGGCAUAGGUAUGGUUUGAAAUUUUACAAAUUGAAAUCACUCAAAAACAUAAAUAGAAAAAUGACAGAUUGAAAUAAUUCAAGUAUAUUUGUCCAAGGAAGGAAUAACAUUUGGAAGAGAAAAAAUAGAUAAUUAAAAAAAAAACCCUCUCUUAAAUUUUCUUUGGAACAUUUACACCAUGACCACAUGGAAUUUGAAUCCUUGAUCCGUCACUGUAUAAGAGCUCACGUCUCUCUUCUAACUAUCUGGUGUAUUGAUUUCAAAACGUAGGGCACCAACUCAAUUUAUCUUAGUAUUGAAGGCUUUUAACCAUAGCAUUCAUUGUGUUGUUGUAGGUUGAAAACCACUUCGUUACUC
rnacentral:lncRNA from 1 species